AUAGGAUUUGUCUAGUUCGCUGAUGAUGAACAGCAGAUCUGAGCUGAGGGCUGGAACAGCUGCAUACUGCCACAGCAGUACUGGCAGCCUUUUCAAGGGAAGAUUGUACUGCUGGUGUACACCCUCAGGCCUAAGGAUUGGAUGAAUACAGAAGUUUGGAUGGAAUUUAGAAGUACUGAGGUGUCCAUAUGUGCACUUGUGAGGUUUUCUGCAAAGUGAGACUUAGCCAGGAUGAGAAGAGAAGAGGAUUGGGCCAGGGAUCUGGAAGAGUGUGAAGAUUCUAAAUUUGAACCUGGAAUUCCUGAUCAUUAUGGCCUGAAUUCAUCUAGAAUUGGUUUUUUUAACGAAUGAGAUGGAGGUGAAAGCACAGUAUUUUCCAUGUGUGACUCAGCUCAAUUUAUUGAAAAGAUGAUCCGUUGCUUGUGGUAAUGUACUUUUAUUAUUGCCAUAAAUCAGAAUACUAUCUUCUAGUUAACAGUUUGUCUUUUGGUGCUACUAUUACUACAUAGCUUUAACUACUGUAGCUUUAUAAAAGAUCUGCAAUGUAAAUCUCUCAGUUUUGUUUUUUUCAAGAUUGCUGUGGAUAUUCUUGACCUUUUGCAUUUCUAUAUGAACUCAUCAAUUUCAGGGGGAAAACCUGCCAGAAUUUUUUAUUAGAACUUUUAAAUCUAUAGCUUAAUUUGGGAAAAUUGAGAUUCUUACACCUGAAAGCUUUCGAAUCCAUGAAUGUAACAUAUCCCUCCCUUUGUUGAGUUCUUAAAUUUUUGUUCAUUGAAAUUUUUAGUUUUCAGUAGAUUUCUACACAUCUUCUGUUGAAUUUAUAUUGCUAGAUAUUUAAUAUUUCUUGAUAUUUUUGCUAACUGAAUCUUUAAAACUAUUUGAUUUUCUAAUUGUCUAUAGUAUAUGGAGAUAAAACUGACUUUUAUAUAAUGAUUUUGUU